UGGGGAUGACGUCAAAUCAUCAUGCCCCUUAUGACCUGGGCUACACACGUGCUACAAUGGGCGGUACAAAGGGUCGCGAACCCGCAGGGGGAGCCAAUCCCAAAAAGCCGCUCUCAGUUCGGAUUGCAGGCUGCAACUCGCCUGCAUGAAGCCGGAAUCGCUAGUAAUCGCGGAUCAGCAUGCCGCGGUGAAUACGUUCCCGGGCCUU
rnacentral:rRNA from 1 species